rnacentral:rRNA from 1 species
UACGUAGGGGGCGAGCGUUGUCCGGAUUUAUUGGGCGUAAAGAGCGUGUAGGCGGCCAGGUAGGUCUGCUGUGAAAACUCGAGGCUUAACCUCGAGAUGUCAUCGGAAACCAUCUGGCUAGAGUCCGGAAGAGGAAAGUGGAAUUCCUGGUGUAGCGGUGAAAUGCGCAGAUAUCAGGAGGAACACCAAUGGCGAAAGCAGCUUUCUGGGACGGUACUGACGCUGAGACGCGAAAGCGUGGGGAGCGAACAGG